UACGUAGGUGGCAAGCGUUGUCCGGAUUUACUGGGUGUAAAGGGCGUGUAGGCGGGUCAGCAAGUCAGAUGUGAAAUCCCGGGGCUUAACUCCGGAACUGCAUCUGAAACUGUAGAUCUUGAGUACUGGAGAGGAAAGUGGAAUUCCUAGUGUAGCGGUGAAAUGCAUAGAGAUUAGGAGGAACACCAGUGGCGAAGGCGGCUUUCUGGACAGUAACUGACGCUGAGGCGCGAAAGCGUGGGGAGCAAACAGGAUUAGAUACCCCUGUA
rnacentral:rRNA from 1 species